ACCUGGCUGGCUCAGUCGGUGGAGCGUGCGACUCUUGAUCUCAGGGUUGUGAGUUCAGGCCCCACGUUGGGCA
rnacentral:tRNA from 1 species